rnacentral:tRNA from 1 species
GCCCGGGUGGUGAAAUCGGUAGACACAGCGGACUUAAAAUCCGCCGCCUCUCGAAAGAGGGCGUACGGGUUCGAUGCCCGUCUCGGGCACCA